GUCACCAAGAGCAAGGGAUGUCAGAUCUGGAAUAGGAGUUACAGGUGGUUUUGGGACCACUCAUUAUAGGUGCUGGGAGCUGGAACCUGGCCCUCUGGAAGAUCAAGCAGUAAGCAUUUUAACUGUUGAGCUAUCACUCCAGGGCCAGGAACAAUUUUUUUUUAAAUGUUUAGUAUUCUUGGCUUUGUGCAUAGUCUAGAUGAGUCAAGUUAGUGAUGUAACUACUCAUGCCUGACAUCAUAACCCUGAUCCUAGAGAAAUCAUUUAUGUUAUACCAUGGAUGAAUAUUUCUUUGUGGUUGACAAAGACAAGGCAAUUUUGGAUUCUGAAGCAUUUAGAAAGAAGAUCUUUUAGAGUCUAGGGAAAAAAACCUUAGGACACAGGCUCAUUUGAGAUGAUUUAUGGGAUGUCUGAGAGUGCGGAUGUGGUUUCUAGGUUAUUUCUGGCCUUGUGGUUACUAUGAUUAAGUCUUAUUCUUACGGGCAAGUAGUAAGGAAAGGAUGGAAGCCAUAUAAGACAGGAGGAAGCCCACAAUUUAAUAAGUGUGAUACCUUACAAUUUAUUAAACCAAAUAACUCAAUGA
rnacentral:lncRNA from 1 species